rnacentral:rRNA from 1 species
UACGUAGGGUGCAAGCGUUGUCCGGAAUUAUUGGGCGUAAAGAGCUCGUAGGCGGUUUGUUGCGUCGGCUGUGAAAUCCCGAGGCUCAACCUCGGGUCUGCAGUCGAUACGAGCAAACUAGAGUGUUUGCAGGGGGAGACUGGAAUUCCUGGUGUAGCGGUGAAAUGCGCAGAUAUCAGGAGGAACACCGGUGGCGAAGGCGGGGUCUCUGGGGCAACAACUGACGCUGAGGAGCGAAAAGCGUGGGGGGAGCGAA